rnacentral:sRNA from 1 species
UCCAUUUGUACCGUAGACAGUAGGGGUGCUUGCACUUAAUUAUCCUACCGAGGACAUCGAAAUCGGAUUCUUUUUAGAUGAUGAAUUUUCCGCCUCUAGUCUACUUUUCGACUAGAGGCUUUUCUUUUG